AGUUGAGGGAAAUGUUGUCUGGUUCGAGAUCUUUCAGUGAAGCUUGGAUAUUGUCAUCAUCUGAAUGAUUUCGGACCAGGCUUCAUUCCCCUCAACU